UCUAUAUAAAUAUUACUCUUUUUGUGUGUAUGUUGAAGGUGACACGUUUCGCCUAUAAUAAAAUUAGAAUUACAGUCCACUAAUUAAUUUGUGUUGUGAAUUAGGUAACAAAACGAAUUGGAGAGUUUUUAUUCAUGGUCCUUUGAGCCGGAUCUUAAGGAUUUGGAUAAAUAUGUGAUUGCCAAUAGCAUAGGACUAUAUCAUAUGAGAUCAUUAGUGUAACCGCACGUGUUGGUGAAGAAAAUGACAAUUGAACGUGAUCAACGAAUUUCCAUUCUCACAAUCCAAGUAAUUGAGCGUCUUUAGAACCACUGUAUCCGGAGGAGUGAAGAAAACAUCCCAAGCCAAUCUACUCAAAUUCGUGUGAGCCCAUGCAAGAAAUCUCGGAGUUUGACAACAGGCUGCCCCGAGAGCUAUAAAAAGAGUUGGUGGGUUGAGCCUUGUGAGGGUAGAUAAGCUACUUUUUACACCAGGAAUGAAAAAACCUCCCCAUCUUUUCUUUUACAAAACUCUUUGGAAUGAGUCUUUUGAGUACUUUCUAACUAUUUUUUAAAACUUUUGGCCCUCUACAGCCCUGAUGCUAACCCCUCUUAUACACUUAUUGGGUCAAGGAGAAGGCGUCCAGUGUCUGUCAUCCAAACACCGAUGCCCUCAACCCACCGUCAGCGAGCACUGGGACGUCAUGACAGCAGACUACAUCUGCAGCAGGUGACAGGUCUUCUGCCGCUGCCUGGAAGCUAUCGUUGGCACUAAGGACGGCUAAGGAAGGAUUAUGAGAACUCAUACACAAAUCUGUGUAUAGUAUUAAUUUUGUUGAAAUUUAAUUUUUUAUUAAUAUUUUAGUUUAAAAUUCAAUGUGUUCAAAUUUUAAUGAACAGCAUGUCAUUUAUUAUGAUCAAACGUAAUGGAAAUGGAUGUCAUUGAUCGACUAAAAUAUCAGAUUAUUAUAUUAUCUCAUCAUUUGCUUUAUGUAACCUUGAUAUUAAGAAGUAAGACUAACAUUAGCAAAUAAUAAAUGAUUAAUUUUGUACCACCUAGACGAUUUAAAAAAACAAAA
rnacentral:lncRNA from 1 species